UUCAUUCACUUCCUGUUUCCACUGUUAGUCUGACUUCACUGGUUGGUCCCAGAGUAUCAGAGACUCGUCCUCAGACAGACGCACACAGAUGGCAGAUCCAGGCUCUCAGCCUCCAGCUGAAACUUCCAGUCCUCCCCCAGCCAGAAGCUCUGACGCUGGGCUGAGAGACUUUGAUCCUUCCCUGGAUCCAGAAGUCCAGGAGGGAGAAGGAGAACAGGACCUGCUUCCUGAUCUGGAGAGGCCUGAGGGAAAGAAAGAUGGAGCAGACAGAGCUUUGAACAAACCUCCUGAGCUUCACCUCCACAAAGGUGUGACAGGUGAAGGACACCGGCGAAUAGGAGGACAGAAACUGAGAGCCAUUAGUCACAUGACUUCAGCUGCUGGCCCCUCGGUGUCUGGUAAAAGGACGAUGCUGCUGUCCAAUGAGGCGAGGAGAGAAGUAGCCAAACAGGCGAGAGCCGUGAAGGAGGAACGGCGGGCAGCUCUGGAUGCCCGACAUAAAUACCUGAUGAGCAGGCUGGCAGACGCCGGCAGCCUGGAGGAGGCGGCGGUGGAAGACGCCAUGGUCUCUGAUGACAGAUUCAGUCUGAUCCAUGAAUUCUUUGCUGCAAACGGAUCCAAGAAGCUGAUUUUCUUUUAUCAGGAUGUCAAACAGAGUCUGUCCUCCCGUCAGUCUUCCUCUGUGGACGCAUCAAACUCAGCUGUGGCUCAGAGGAAACUCUUCCUCACUACGGGGAACUCUGAGGUUGGCUUUGACUUUUCUUUAAGUUAAUGUGAGUCUAAUGUGAGAAUAAGAAAUAAAUGUUGAUAUGAGUGGAAGGUUCUGCUGAUAAAAUAGCAACGAGCAGAUUAUUGAAGAGCGAGGCAGACAGUUGGUUUCAGUAAUGCCAGUUUAUUAGAAACGAGGACUGUGGGGCUGCUGGAAGUCAGGAGGGCCGUUCUCUGGAGAAACCUGACAGCUGAGGUGGAGAGCAGGAUUUAUCCACAGACGCUUCUUCCAAGCAAAUGUCCUGAACACACCUGAGCUGAGUGUUACACAGAAACUGUCUUAAAGCACGAGCCUGGAUCAGACUGGAGGACUCAGAGCUCAGGUGAUUAAAGUCUCUGAGCAAACACUGGAUGACUGACAGCUGCAGGCUGAACAUCAGGAGGUCGAGAGGCCGAAGUCUGAAGAGCUCAAAGCUCCACAAACACUUAUUCACAGAGAAAAGGACUACAAACAUGGAGGA